GGGAUAGAAGCAGCUGGGGAGAGAGCUGUAAGAGAAAAAACCACAAGUAAAGAAGCUGCUGCGUGAACCUGCCUUGGUGUCCGUGUUGUUCUUGUCUCCGCAGGCGGCAAGGACUGCAAAAAGUGGUGGCCCAUAUGGGGAACUCAUCACGUUGGUCGGCAAUGGAUUUUGUUUGGUUUUGCUUCUUUCGAGGACUUCUGGCACAUCACUAAAUUAUUAAUUUGUGGGAGAAAAUAAAACUAAUGGGGAUCACCAACCAAGAAAGCGUGUCAAAAUACCUCAACAGCAUGACUUAAAAUAUUUGUCGUCUUAUACUUAUUGGGAUAUUGAAGUUGGUGAUCAGGGAGUUUCAUAUAAGAACAUGGUGCAUUCUGACUACUGUAACAUCACACCUUUCUAAUAACCCACCCCGUUUUUAUUAUCUCUCUGCUUCCACAUUCCACAGUUCUUGUUUUUUGUUAUUGUUGUUAUUUUGUGACCAACUGGAAUCAUCUGUUUGGCUAUAGUUUGGAAUUACCCAUUGGGGCUCGGUUUUCUUUUCAUGAUUGGCAGCUGAGACCUGAUGAGGAGCAGCUAACCAGUCCACACUGCCUCUCUUAAAGAACAACUUCAUCUUGAACUGUGGAGAAGAGAGGCACCAUGACCAAGACAACUCCUAUAAAGGACAACAUUCAACUGGGGCUGAUUUACAGGUUCAGAGAUUAUCAUCAAGGCACUAAGGAACUCAGAGCCUUGGGCAGAGAUGAAUUGCUCAAAAUAGUGAUGGGUCUCCUCUGCCAUAUAGUCAUUACAAAUAACCAAAAUAUCAAGAAUCUUUGUCUCAAGAAUCAAGCUAUACAAAAUGACAGGAAAGAAAAAAUGCUUUAUAUGAAAUACAUAUGUAAAUCUGGGAAACAACUUGUGUUGAGAAGACAAUAAUGCCGCACAAAAACAACCAACAGUAAAUAGCAUCUGGUUUCUUUUGAAUGGCUAAAUUUUAGCCUAAUUUUUUUCCCUAUCAACAAGCCAAUUGGACACACUCAUUUACUCAAAUGUACAUGUAAGUAAUGUAGGUAAAUGAAAGACAUUAUUCAGAUGAGUGAAUUCUAUUCCUUUUCAUCAUCUCUGUGAUGAAGUUGCAAAGGACACGCUUUUUCUCGUGGCUUUUCCUCAGCCACUGCUUCCUGCUUCUUCAGGAAUGUGGUUCUCUUUUUUUUUUUAGAAUCUUUAGGGGCCGAUGCCUUCUUGCCACUUGGGAGUUGGGCGCACAAAGAUUGGUUUUCUUCCUGCAUGCUUAUUUUCAGCUUUUCUCGAGGAACUUGAAGAAUGGGUGACGAAGGUGGAGGAGCUGAGCACCUUCGUAGGGGCUUGCGAAGCCAGUGGUUUUCUGUAGGCUCCUGGGACUUGGUUUGCUUUGGUCCGCACCAUGUUUACACAGGAAAAGACACCUUUCACCGACACCCAACUGCAGAUGUCUCAAAUGGACGAGAACCAUAAUUUUCUUUAUAUCCUCUGACAUUGGUAGAUCUCUAAAUGAAAGGACUGGAAUAAUGACCUUAAAAGAGAGUGUGCUC
ensembl:lincRNA